rnacentral:misc_RNA from 1 species
GUAGGUGAACCUGCGGAAGGAUCAUUAAAAAUAAUCUGGGGGUAGGAUCCAGUGGCUUUAGCGCUUCGGCGAUAGGGUACACGGCUCUCUUACCUGUCUGGCUAUUUAUACCCUUGAUUUUGCGUACCGUUGUUUCCUCGGCAGGCUUGCCUGUCGCUAGGACCCUUUUAAACUCUUUGUAAUUGCAAUCAGCGUCAGAAAUUUAUAAUCGUUACAACUUUCAACAACGGAUCUCUUGGUUCUGGCAUCG